rnacentral:rRNA from 1 species
ACGCGGGCGGCGUGCUUAACACAUGCAAGUCGAACGGAGCGAAUGAAAGCUUGCUUUUAUAAGCUUAGUGGCAAACGGGUGAGUAACACGUAGGCAACCUGCCGACAGGAUGGGGACAACAUUCCGAAAGGAAUGCUAAUACCGAAUGAAGUCGAGGGAGGGCAUCCUCCUCCGAUGAAAGAUGGCCUCUAUAUAUAAGCUAUCACCUGUCGAUGGGCCUGCGUCUGAUUAGCUGGUAGGUGAGGUAACGGCUCACCUAGGCGACGAUCAGUAGCCGGUCUGAGAGGAUGAACGGCCACAUUGGGACUGAGACACGGCCCAGACUCCUACGGGAGGCAGCAGUGGGGAAUCUUCCGCAAUGGGCGCAAGCCUGACGGAGCAACGCCGCGUGAGUGAAGAAGGUCUUCGGAUCGUAAAGCUCUGUUGAUGGGGACGAACGUGCCUAAUGCGAAUAGUAUUAGGUAAUGACGGACCCAUCGAGAAGCCAC